rnacentral:rRNA from 1 species
UACGUAGGGUGCAAGCGUUGUCCGGAAUUAUUGGGCGUAAAGAGCUUGUAGGCGGUUUGUCGCGUCUGCUGUGAAAUUUCGGGGCUCAACCCCGAACUUGCAGUGGGUACGGGCAGACUAGAGUGUGGUAGGAGAGACUGGAAUUCCUGGUGUAGCGGUGAAAUGCGCAGAUAUCAGGAGGAACACCGAUGGCGAAGGCAGGUCUCUGGGCCAUAACUGACGCUGAGAAGCGAAAGCAUGGGGAGCGAACAGG